GGGCUAAUACCGGAUAAUACUUUCUUUUGCAUAAAGGAAAGUUGAAAGGCGGCUUCGGCUGUCACUUACAGAUGGGCCCGCGGCGCAUUAGCUAGUUGGUGAGGUAACGGCUCACCAAGGCGACGAUGCGUAGCCGACCUGAGAGGGUGAUCGGCCACACUGGGACUGAGACACGGCCCAGACUCCUACGGGAGGCAGCAGUAGGGAAUCUUCCGCAAUGGACGAAAGUCUGACGGAGCAACGCCGCGUGAGUGAUGAAGGUUUUCGGAUCGUAAAACUCUGUUGUUAGGGAAGAACAAGUAGGAUAGUAACUGAUCGUACCUUGACGGUACCUAACCAGAAAGCCACGGCUAACUACGUGCCAGCAGCCGCGGUAAUACGUAGGUGGCAAGCGUUGUCCGGAAUUAUUGGGCGUAAAGCGCUCGCAGGCGGUCCUUUAAGUCUGAUGUGAAAUCUCGCGGCUCAACCGCGAACGGUCAUUGGAAACUGGAGGACUUGAGUACAGAAGAGGAGAGUGGAAUUCCACGUGUAGCGGUGAAAUGCGUAGAGAUGUGGAGGAACACCAGUGGCGAAGGCGACUCUCUGGUCUGUAACUGACGCUGAGGAGCGAAAGCGUGGGGAGCGAACAGGAUUAGAUACCCUGGUAGUCCACGCCGUAAACGAUGAGUGCUAGGUGUUUAGGGGGGUUUCCGCCCCCUAAGUGCUGAAGUUAACGCAUUAAGCACUCCC
rnacentral:rRNA from 1 species